ACAUCGCCUAUUGAAUCAUUACAGGUAGAAUCUGCCCAAUGACGUUUUAACGGCCGCAGUAUUUUGACUGUGCUAAGGCAGCAUAAUCAUUUGCCACUUAAUUGCUGGCUUGUAUGAAUGAGUUGACGAAAGAUUACCUGUCUCUACAUUACAAUUCAAUUUAUAAUAAAGGUUAAAAUGCCUUUAUAUUUUAGGAAGACGACAAGACCCUAUAAAGCUUUAAUCCAAUUUAAUCUUAAUCAAUGAAGAUUUUUACUGGGGCGGCAAAGUUAUAAUUUUAUCCAAUUUCAAAUUAACAUUCUAGAUGAGUUUAACCUAUAUUUUCAAAGAAUAAUCUUAGUUACUUUAGGGAUAACAGCGCAAUAUUCUUUGAGAGUUCUUAUCAACAAGAAUGGUUUCGACCUCGAUGUUGAAUUAAGGUACCAAAAUAGAGCACAAAUUAUUUGUGGAAGUCUGUUCGACUUGCAAACCCUUACGUGAUCUGAGUUCAGACCGGAC
rnacentral:rRNA from 1 species